rnacentral:misc_RNA from 1 species
GAUGAAGAACGUAGCGAAAUGCGAUACGUAAUGUGAAUUGCAGAAUUCAGUGAAUCAUCGAGUCUUUGAACGCACAUUGCGCCCCCUGGUAUUCCGGGGGGCAUGCCUGUCCGAGCGUCAUUGCUGCCCUCAAGCACGGCUUGUGUGUUGGGCCUCCGUCCUCCUCCCGGGGGACGGGCCCGAAAGGCAGCGGCGGCACCGCGUCCGGUCCUCGAGCGUAUGGGGCUUCGUCACCCGCUCUUGUAGGCCCGGCCGGCGCUUGCCGACACGUCAAUCUUUUUUCCAGGUUGACCUCGGAUCAGGUAGGGAUACCCGCUGAACUUAAGCAUAUCAAUAAGCGGAGGA